CGACUAAGCGUACACGGUGGAUGCCCUGGCAGUCAGAGGCGAUGAAGGACGUGCUAAUCUGCGAUAAGCGCCGGUAAGGUGAUAUGAACCGUUAUAACCGGCGAUUUCCGAAUGGGGAAACCCAGUGUGAUUCGUCACACUAUCAUUAACUGAAUCCAUAGGUUAAUGAGGCGAACCGGGGGAACUGAAACAUCUAAGUACCCCGAGGAAAAGAAAUCAACCGAGAUUCCCCCAGUAGCGGCGAGCGAACGGGGAGGAGCCCAGAGCCUGAAUCAGCAUGUGUGUUAGUGGAAGCGUCUGGAAAGGUGCGCGAUACAGGGUGACAGCCCCGUACACAAAAGCGCAUGUGCUGUGAGCUCGAUGAGUAGGGCGGGACACGUGGUAUCCUGUCUGAAUAUGGGGGGACCAUCCUCCAAGGCUAAAUACUCCUGACUGACCGAUAGUGAACCAGUACCGUGAGGGAAAGGCGAAAAGAACCCCGGCGAGGGGAGUGAAAAAGAACCUGAAACCGUGUACGUACAAGCAGUGGGAGCNNNNNNNNNNNNNNNNNNNNNNNNNNNNNNNNNNNNNNNNNNNNNNNNGGCGUUAAGUUGCAGGGUAUAGACCCGAAACCCGGUGAUCUAGCCAUGGGCAGGUUGAAGGUUGGGUAACACUAACUGGAGGACCGAACCGACUAAUGUUGAAAAAUUAGCGGAUGACCUGUGGCUGGGGGUGAAAGGCCAAUCAAACCGGGAGAUAGCUGGUUCUCCCCGAAAGCUAUUUAGGUAGCGCCUCGUGAAUUCAUCUCCGGGGGUAGAGCACUGUUUCGGCUAGGGGGCCAUCCCGGCUUACCAACCCGAUGCAAACUGCGAAUACCGGAGAAUGUUAUCACGGGAGACACACGGCGGGUGCUAACGUCCGUCGUGAAGAGGGAAACAACCCAGACCGCCAGCUAAGGUCCCAAAGUCAUGGUUAAGUGGGAAACGAUGUGGGAAGGCCCAGACAGCCAGGAUGUUGGCUUAGAAGCAGCCAUCAUUUAAAGAAAGCGUAAUAGCUCACUGGUCGAGUCGGCCUGCGCGGAAGAUGUAACGGGGCUAAACCAUGCACCGAAGCUGCGGCAGCGANNNNNNNNNNNNNNNNNNNNNNNNNNNNNNNNNUGCUGGAGGUAUCAGAAGUGCGAAUGCUGACAUAAGUAACGAUAAAGCGGGUGAAAAGCCCGCUCGCCGGAAGACCAAGGGUUCCUGUCCAACGUUAAUCGGGGCAGGGUGAGUCGACCCCUAAGGCGAGGCCGAAAGGCGUAGUCGAUGGGAAACGGGUUAAUAUUCCCGUACUUGGUGUUACUGCGAAGGGGGGACGGAGAAGGCUAUGUUGGCCGGGCGACGGUUGUCCCGGUUUAAGCGUGUAGGUGUGUGUUCCAGGUAAAUCCGGUUCACUUUAACACUGAGGCGUGACGACGAGGCACUACGGUGCUGAAGCAACAAAUGCCCUGCUUCCAGGAAAAGCCUCUAAGCAUCAGGUAACAUCAAAUCGUACCCCAAACCGACACAGGUGGUCAGGUAGAGAAUACCAAGGCGCUUGAGAGAACUCGGGUGAAGGAACUAGGCAAAAUGGUGCCGUAACUUCGGGAGAAGGCACGCUGACACGUAGGUGAAGUGAUUUACUCACGGAGCUGAAGUCAGUCGAAGAUACCAGCUGGCUGCAACUGUUUAUUAAAAACACAGCACUGUGCAAACACGAAAGUGGACGUAUACGGUGUGACGCCUGCCCGGUGCCGGAAGGUUAAUUGAUGGGGUCAGCGCAAGCGAAGCUCCUGAUCGAAGCCCCGGUAAACGGCGGCCGUAACUAUAACGGUCCUAAGGUAGCGAAAUUCCUUGUCGGGUAAGUUCCGACCUGCACGAAUGGCGUAAUGAUGGCCAGGCUGUCUCCACCCGAGACUCAGUGAAAUUGAACUCGCUGUGAAGAUGCAGUGUACCCGCGGCAAGACGGAAAGACCCCGUGAACCUUUACUAUAGCUUGACACUGAACAUUGAGCCUUGAUGUGUAGGAUAGGUGGGAGGCUUUGAAGUGUGGACGCCAGUCUGCAUGGAGCCGACCUUGAAAUACCACCCUUUAAUGUUUGAUGUUCUAACGUGGACCCGUAAUCCGGGUUGCGGACAGUGUCUGGUGGGUAGUUUGACUGGGGCGGUCUCCUCCUAAAGAGUAACGGAGGAGCACGAAGGUUGGCUAAUCCUGGUCGGACAUCAGGAGGUUAGUGCAAUGGCAUAAGCCAGCUUGACUGCGAGCGUGACGGCGCGAGCAGGUGCGAAAGCAGGUCAUAGUGAUCCGGUGGUUCUGAAUGGAAGGGCCAUCGCUCAACGGAUAAAAGGUACUCCGGGGAUAACAGGCUGAUACCGCCCAAGAGUUCAUAUCGACGGCGGUGUUUGGCACCUCGAUGUCGGCUCAUCACAUCCUGGGGCUGAAGUAGGUCCCAAGGGUAUGGCUGUUCGCCAUUUAAAGUGGUACGCGAGCUGGGUUUAGAACGUCGUGAGACAGUUCGGUCCCUAUCUGCCGUGGGCGCUGGAGAACUGAGGGGGGCUGCUCCUAGUACGAGAGGACCGGAGUGGACGCAUCACUGGUGUUCGGGUUGUCAUGCCAAUGGCACUGCCCGGUAGCUAAAUGCGGAAGAGAUAAGUGCUGAAAGCAUCUAAGCACGAAACUUGCCCCGAGAUGAGUUCUCCCUGAGACUUAGAGUCUCCUGAAGGAACGUUGAAGACGACGACGUUGAUAGGCCGGGUGUGUAAGCGCAGCGAUGCGUUGAGCUAACCGGUACUAAUGAACCGUGAGG
rnacentral:rRNA from 1 species